AACCAGCCAUGCCGCGUGCAGGAAGACGGCUCUAUGAGUUGUAAACUGCUUUUGUACAGGGAUAAUUGUGGAUACGUGUAUCCAUUUGCAGGUACUGUACGAAUAAGGAUCGGCUAACUCCGUGCCAGCAGCCGCGGUAAUACGGAGGAUCCAAGCGUUAUCCGGAUUUAUUGGGUUUAAAGGGUGCGUAGGCGGUUCGGUAAGUUAGAGGUGAAAACCCGUGGCUCAACCACGGACGUGCCUCUGAUACUGCCGGACUAGAGAGUAGAUGCGGUAGGCGGAAUGUGUGGUGUAGCGGUGAAAUGCUUAGAGAUCACACAGAACACCGAUUGCGAAGGCAGCUUACCAAUCUAUAUCUGACGUUGAGGCACGAAAGCGUGGGUAGCAAACAGGAUUAGAUACCCUGGUAGUCCACGCAGUAAACGAUGAUAGCUCGUUGUCGGCGAUACACAGUCGGUGACUUAGCGAAAGCGUUAAGCUAUCCACCUGGGGAGUACGUUCGCAAGAAUGAAACUCAAAGGAAUUGACGGGGGCCCGCACAAGCGGAGGAACAUGUGGUUUAAUUCGAUGAUACGCGAGGAACCUUACCCGGGCUUGAAAGUUAUUGACGGUGGUCGAAAGAUCACUUCCCUUCGGGGCAAGAAACUAGGUGCUGCAUGGUUGUCGUCAGCUCGUGCCGUGAGGUGUCGGAUUAAGUUCCAUAACGAGCGCAACCCUUGCCGUUAGUUGCCAUCAGGUGAUGCUGGGCACUCUAACGGGACUGCCGGUGUAAGCCGAGAGGAAGGUGGGGAUGACGUCAAAUCAGCACGGCCCUUACGUCCGGGGCGACACACGUGUUACAAUGGUCGGUACAGAGGGCAGCUACCCAGCGAUGGGAUGCGAAUCUCGAAAGCCGAUCUCAGUUCGGAUCGGAGGCUGAAACUCGCCUCCGUGAAGUUGGAUUCGCUAGUAAUCGCGCAUCA
rnacentral:rRNA from 1 species